rnacentral:rRNA from 1 species
AUUGAACGCUGGCGGCAUGCCUUACACAUGCAAGUCGAACGGCAGCGGGGGAGAAGCUUGCUUUUCCUGCCGGCGAGCGGCGAACGGGUGAGUAAUACAUCGGAACGUGCCCUGUAGUGGGGGAUAACUAGUCGAAAGAUUAGCUAACACCGCAUACGACCUGAGGGUGAAAGUGGGGGACCGCAAGGCCUCAUGCUAUAGGAGCGGCCGAUGUCUGAUUAGCUAGUUGGUGGGGUAAAGGCCUACCAAGGCGACGAUCAGUAGCUGGUCUGAGAGGACGAUCAGCCACACUGGGACUGAGACACGGCCCAGACUCCUACGGGAGGCAGCAGUGGGGAAUUUUGGACAAUGGGCGAAAGCCUGAUCCAGCAAUGCCGCGUGUGUGAAGAAGGCCUUCGGGUUGUAAAGCACUUUUGUCCGGAAAGAAAUGGCUCUGGUUAAUACCUGGGGUCGAUGACGGUACCGGAAGAAUAAGGACCGGCUAACUACGUGCCAGCAGCCGCCGUAAAAC